UUGGCCACCCGGCUAAGCUCAUUUCAGCCAAUCAGCUUGGGAGCUGCCAUUUACCUCACAGAGGGAGAAAAAGGUAUCUGCUGUCAUAGCAACGAGUGGCUUUGCUCUGAUCAUGUUUGGAUCCGUUAGCAUAAUGAAAGACACCGGCUUGCUUUUUAGAUGAUUAAUCUUUUCCCCUGUGAACCUACUUGAAUACAUUAGCAAAACAAGUAUGAAAAAUUUGUUUAUCCCAAGACAAUCAUUAGAAAAUUACCUGCAAGAGUAAUUCUCAUUAGGGCAGAGUUGGUGAAUAGCAGAGCAUAUGGUGAAUGAAAGCAGCAAGAAGCAAUAAAAUCUCCAAACUGCAACAGCAUUCUGGGAUAGAAGAGCACCAAGUCUAACUGCAGACAAACCAGUCCAAUCAUCAUUUAACCUCACUACCAUCAUGCAUUGUCCAGUCCAGGUCCAAAGACACAUUAUAAUGACAGACACUAACCAGGCUGUUCUAUGGAAGUAACCAUAAAUUGAUCAGAAAAAAUUAAGAGCAUCCAGAUGCUGUGGAGAAAAACUGCAGAAGAAACCUUUUCUAUUUCUGUAAUUCUUAGGAAGGAAAACCCUGUUUCUUGAUGGAGUAUUACCAUCAGCAACAACCACUGAAUGGGAAGCAACAGACGGACACAAUAGCAUCUCCAGAGUGACCUCAGGUUUUCAUCCAUAUGAAACAGUUAAUCCUCAUUUGUUUAUUUUUUUCCUAUACUAUCUACAGUUACCAGAAUUCACCACCAUAUGUGAAGGUCAAGUCCACUGGUAAAGUAAUUCAUAUAGUUAUCCGAAUUGUAUCCAAGCUAUAAAUUAAUGUGACAUAAACUGCCUACAGCAUUUCUUCUAUUUCUAAUGUUAUAUGCAGACAAACCUACCCUGGUAUACUGAUAAUUAAAAUAAAAAUCUAUAUGCACCUCCUCUGAGAACACACACACCAAACAGGAAAUAAAUUAGUUCCAGGAUGGGACCUGCUGAGGGACACACAGAAAUGAUUUGCAGCAAAUGCUAACUUCAAGCUUGGAGUGGAAAAGAUAAGUAUACUUUACUUCACAAUUGCCACCUGAAUCACCAACACAGAGAGAAAAGUGCCAAAGGAGGGAAAAAGCUGCAAAAUUUCAUCAGAGUCCUGAUGUUCCCAAUCUUACACAAAGCAACCAGAAGAGCUGCAGGCUGAUCUCCUAAUGCUCUGAAAAUUAAGACUUCCAGAAAUCGCAUGCGAACAUAUUGUUUUCCAGAACUUGCUGUUUCCUUAAAAAAUCUCAAGCUCGUGGUGAAAUACAAUGCACGGUAUCCAAACAGGCUUCUACAUUUUGUACCCAGAAUACGCUUAUUUAUUUUGAAGCCACAGACUGAUCAUCAGUGUUGCCCUCAAGAAGAGUCAAAGAAGAUUAAACUUCCCCCCCCACCACCACCUUGUGUUGCAGCUAACAGUUUGAUUCAUGAACUUAAUACCAUAAACAAACUUGAACAACUCACCCUGCAGACUUCGCUGGAAAUGAGCUAAUAUGCACCUGCUGAAGAUUCAACCCAUGAGGAGGUAGUCUCCUUGGAAAAUGCUCCUGAUGAACUGAAAUACAAUGGAAAUGGUCACUAAGAAAGCUUACAUUAAUAGAGGUACUGUGAGAGGUAGCUUAAGACCUGGAUUUUGCCACACUCACACACACACACACGAGACAAAUCAACCAUCCAAAGAAGGAACAAUCAAGAGCGCACAGAGUAUGAGCAGUUCAGGAUGCCCAACCUGGAUAGAAGAUUCUCUAUUAAAGAAAUCAAAACUUCACAGUCUAAGGCUACACUACACAGAUUUGAUACAGUAGUGGUUAUGUGCACUGGAGGCUCCAUUUGCUCAAGGGACUUCAAUCAGAGAAGUAAGGUAGAAGUAAAUUCCUACAACACAGACAGAUAAUAACAUAUAACAUUUGGGACCAGAUGUUUUUAAAUAUCUAUACUGAAAAGAUGAAGGCUAUUAGUUUGAUGAGAUCCAAACCUCCAUAAAUCCCGUAAGAACAAGUAGGAUGAAAACAAACCUCUUCCAAAUGAGCAGACUUCUCAGCGCCAUGCAGCAGGUGAGCUCUAUCAGAAGC